rnacentral:misc_RNA from 1 species
AGCAGCCGCGGUAAUUCCAGCUCCAAUAGCGUAUAUUAAAGUUGUUGCAGUUAAAAAGCUCGUAGUUGAACCUCGGGGUCUACCCAUUGGUCAGGCUUAAUUGUCUGCACUGGUGAGAUGGAUCUCUACCUUCUGAGGAACUUUCAUGCCAUUUAUUUGGUGUGAUGGGAAAUCAGGACUGUUACUUUGAAAAAAUUAGAGUGUUUAAAGCAGACUAUCGUCUGAAUACAUUAGCAUGGAAUAAUGAAAUAGGACGGACUGAUUCUAUUUCGUUGGUUUCUAGGAUCACCGUAAUGAUUAAUAGGGAUAGUUGGGGGCAUUAGUAUUCAAUUGUCAGAGGUGAAAUUCUUGGAUUUAUUGAAGACUAACUACUGCGAAAGCAUUUGCCAAGGAUGUUUUCAUUAAUCAAGAACGAAAGUUAGGGGAUCGAAGACGAUCAGAUACCGUCGUAGUCUUAACCAUAAACUAUGCCGACUAGGGAUCGGACGAAGUUAAUUUUAUAAUGACGCGUUCGGCACCU